UGUGCACACCAAUCAGUACACUGGGAAGAGGAGAGACUCGUACUGAGUGGCUUCUCAAUGGGAGAGAAGAGCUGAGAGGAGAGAGGGACGGAGAGAGCGAACGCACGAGAGAGAGAAAGAGAGAGAGAUAAGUGCCGUCGCAUGUGCAGGACCAAAAAGUGAAGAGGCAAAUUAGCUUGUUAUCCCCCAAAGAAGCUUCACCUUCACAGAGAAGCGUGAGGAGGCUAAGAAACAGGAGGAAGACGUUGCUUCUCUGGUGAUUUAAAGGUGACAUGACAAGCCUCUCGUCCCUCAAAUCCCAGCUAGUUUCUGACAGCGUUUCACAGCUGUGACGGGAGUUCCUGCUGUCGGGUGCCUGACUGUGUUCGCUCGUGGAUUGCAGCCAGAAGGACUUACAACAGAAGAGGGGAUCAAGGGCAGGAGCGGGAACAAAAGUCUCCUCAUCCCCCCUCUGACCCGCAGAUCCGAACAGGAACUUUUGCUGGGAAGCUCUGAGCAUGGAUGGAUUUAUGACUAUGUGCUGAGGAUAUUGGACCAACAAUUGACGCCACGUUUCUUGAACGUUCUCCUCACCGUAUCUCACAGCCGGUGCUCCUGCCAUGUCCUGGCUCCUGUGUCUGUGGAUAAGUGUUAGCUGCUUAUUGCUGUGCCACGCCACUUUGUACGAGACCAUCCAGCAGCAUCAUGUGACCCGGCCGGGCCGCAACACCAUACAGAUUCUGGAGGGAGGAACAUGCGAAGUCAUCGCAGCACACCGAUGUUGCAACAAGAACCGCAUUGAGGAGCGUUCCCAGACGGUCAAGUGCUCAUGUUUACCGGGAAAAGUGGCCGGCACAACACGAAACAAACCCUCCUGUGUAGACGCCUCCAUCGUGAUUGGGAAGUGGUGGUGUGAGAUGGAGCCGUGUCUGGAGGGAGAGGAGUGUAAGACACUACCAGACAACUCCGGCUGGAUGUGUUCCUCUGGGAACAAGAUCAAGACCACGAGGAACACCCAGCCAUAUUCGACUUUUUAGCUCUGAGGGCCACCGAAGCUGGCUCGCCAGAAGCUCAGCGGCGUUCUUCUCCUCAUCAAGAUUCAUCCCCGGACCUAACAAAGAGCUCCUUCACAGGCAGUGAAUGUGGAUUCUUUCUGUCAGAAUGGACGAAACCAUUCAUUCAAAGGGGUGUUUGACUGGAUUACCUGUGGUUGAACAAUAAAGAAGGACAUUCUUGGGGAUAAAGGCGAGAUUUGCUCAUUUGGUGCCAAGGAAUAUGACUUAACAGAAAUAAAACAGGCUAAUCUGUGUUUUUGAUCAAUGAGCCCAACGCUGCGGACUCGACCGUGUCCGAUUCUCUCAAUUUUCUGCGUUUCUCCUGACCACCUUCCUCUGGUUCUAAACUCAUACAGCUUAGGGGAGCCGUUUACUGGAUUUUAAAUUAUAUUUGAAGACUUUACCUCCCUAGGUAAACUGGACAAUCCUGAUAUAAGCUGUGAAUGACUGUAUGAAGGAUCAUGAUGGAUAAGCACUGGCCUGUGAAAAUGAGGUGGAAAUCAAUAGGAGAUUUUUUUCCAUCCCUCCAUCAUUUUGUCGUUCCGCGUUCACGCUGGCUUUGGUAACAGACUAGGAGCUUGUGAAGCCCUGCUAUUUCCCUCCACUUCUGAGUUUACCGCUAGUGUCCACACGCUGUCUGUUUGGGAAUACCCCCAGGUCAAAGGUCACCUCACUGUCUACACGUACUUGGGCCAGAUAUCUUUUUAUUUGUCGGCAUGCUCAAUGUAUUUUGUGGGAGCUUUGUAUUGAAGUAACUGUAUAUAUUUCUGUAUAUAUACAUAUAGAUACAUAUUAAAAGACAUCAUAUGACGAUCUAUCAUGCCCUAAACCUGUUCAGUGGGUUUGAAUUAAGACUGUAUUCAUGGGUUUUGGCUCCUUGAACAAGAAGUACAAUUAAUCCCUAAUUUAAGGCUGUCUGUGGAAAUAUAUAAAUAUAUAUUCUCUAGAUGUAAUGGAAAUCCGGCAUUUUUUGCUUGAAUUAGAAUUUGUUCUAUUGGGUCCAUGAUGAAAAAACUAAGGAAAAUUCACUAAACAGUUGCAACACUCUUGCACUAUUUUGCAACGUUUAGCGCUAAAAUAGCCCUGAGCUAUUAGUAUCAAAGUCAUUCAUCUAAGUUUCCAUGUAAAUUAGGCUUAUUAUAAAUUCCAGCUUAUUCACAAAACUCUACUGCUACUCUAGUGCUACUACCGCUGGCGGAAAUCAGAUGGUAAAUGACUUUAUGUACAUUUUCUACUGAUCAUAGCAACAGUAAUUCAACACGUAAUGGGCAAAUAAUGGGGAAGAACAGAUGUGCAUAGUAGUUGACCACACUUGGUGCUGUAAGGUCCCAUUAAAGCACAUCAAAUUAUAGUAGCGUGUCCACUGUAUCCUCCACAACCUACUAUAGAGCACAGAAGCAACCAGUGAGUUUGGGAAUUGUGCCAUGCACAGAUUUGUGGUCGCUUUUGUUCUGUUAUCUGAUUUGCAUAAUUCUGAAUCUGGCACUUAAAUACAGCACACAAUGUAAUUAAUUGCCUUUGUCGGCAGGCGCAACUCAUUCUUAGUGAAUUUCCCAAAGAUAUCAGUCUAUUGGCCACAGUCACCUAUUGGAAUGCUUCAGUCCAUGAUUCAGUUUGUUCUAUGCUGUUCUGAGAAUAGAUAGGCUUCAUUAUGCUUGUGUAGGUUUCAUAAAUACAAGACAAUAGAAGAUAUUCAUUUUGUCAAAGGUGAUAACCGUGAUAACCAAACACUGGAUCUGUGUCACUGGACAGAAAUCUAAAUCAGUUCAGAAAAAUGAAGCCCUAGUUUGGUAGGGUCUUCGGGGAAGAUGAGAUGUCAUUUUCAAGAGAUAUAAUGUGUUUAUAAUGUUUGCCAGCUUAAAGGUAUAGUUCACCCAAAAAUAAAACUUCCGUCAUUGAUUACUCAUGCCUCAUAUCGUUCCAAACCCGUAAGACCGUUUAUCUUCAGAACACAAAUUAAGAUAUUUUUGAUUAAAUCCAAGAGCUUUCUGUCGCUGCAUAGACAGCAACACAACUGACACGUUCAAGGCCCAGAGAGGUAGUAAGGACAUUGUUAAAAUAGUCCAUGUGACAUCAGCGGUUCAACUCAAAGAAAGAAAAGAAAAAUAACAACUUUAUUCAACAAUUCUUCUUGUCUGUGUCAGUCUUUGAUGUGGGCCUUGAAUGUGUCAGUUGCGUUGUCGUCUAUGCAGGGUCAGAAAGCUGUCAGAUUUCAUCAAAAAUAUUUUAAUUUGUGUUCCGAAGAUGAACGAAGGUCUUAAAAGUUUGGAACGAUAUGAGAGUAAGUAAUAUUACCAUACGUCCACAUGAAUUAUGAGGGAAUGACUAUUCAGAAUGUCACAUUAAACAUGCUUUUAGUUUUCUGUGUCAAUCUAGUUUCAAGUGGUUGGCGAAAAGGUGGGCUUCAUUUCUCUUUACUGGCAUCAGUAGACAUGCAACUACAGUAGCUUUGGUAGAUAAACAUGCAGCCUUAU